CCUACGGGAGGCUGCAGUGAGGAAUAUUGGUCAAUGGCCGGAAGGCUGAACCAGCCAUGCCGCGUGAAGGUCAGUGCCCUAUGGGCGUUAAACUUCUUUUGUGCGGGAGCAAGAAUGGUCACGUGGGGCCAGACGAGAGUACCGUACGAAUAAGCAGCGGCGAACUCCGUGCCAGCAGCCGCGGUAAUAGGGGGGAUGCAAGCGUUAUCCGGAUUUCUUGGGUUUAAAGGGUGCGUAGGCGGUGAGGUAAGUCAGCGGUGAAAUGCCCCCGCUCAACGGGGUGAAGUGCCAUUGAUACUGCCUUGCUGGACUGCGGCUGCCGUGGGAGGACUGUGUGGUGUAGCGGUGCACUGCAUAGAUCUCAC
rnacentral:rRNA from 1 species